UGACAAUAGAAAGAGAAAACACUGAUAACUCUGGUUCAUAUCCAUGGUGGCUGCCGUAUCUCUCCAUCUGUUUGGGUGUGCUGAUUCUGGUUCUUAUAGUAAUGCUGAUCUUGGUCCUGUGUAUUAGUGGAAGUAAAAAUUCAAGAAAAAAGAAAGCACAGAGAGCACAGGUUCAGUAUACAGAUCUUGUGAAGCAGGAUGAAUAUGUCUGUGUGCAGUACUCUGUGGCCCAUGACCACACAUCCGGCUGAACAUUAGCACCUGAAGAGUCUGCACUGAAUGUGUUAGGUGGAGGUGAUGAAUGAUACUUUAUCCUGCAUGAGAGAUGACUGCUUUAGCUGAGUUAUAUAAGCGUCUCUGCAUUGCUUCAUACGAACACCAAUGUCCCCACUGACCUGAAGCUUAUGUAAUUUUGCAAUAAUAUACAUUUCUAUACAAUAUACAAAUAUACAAAUGUACAAUAAAAGUUUUUCAAAGGCUUAUAUUUAAGAGAGACUCAUUUUCCAUGUUGUUUGGAGCUUGAUCACAUCUAUUAUGAGUUCAGACAAAUGAAAACACACAAAAAAAUUGCUUUUGAUAUUCUCCAGACAUGCUAUAUACCGGGACAAUUUAUUAGGAAAUGCAAUGACAUUCCGGAUGAUUCACCCUAACUAUAAACUAACACUUGAUAAAAACCAGUAGAUGAAGCCAUGCAUCUAAAUACUGAUCCAGCGUUGCCAACUCUGGCGUGACACUCGCGCUUGGACUUCAGCGUGAGAUUGAUGCUGAAAGCGUGAGUGUCACGCCAGAUGCGGGAGAUGGCAACCCUGGCUGAUUUUGUCUACCAAGAAUAACCCUUUGACAAGAUUUUGACUUUGAAUAUAAAUGCAUUGUAACUUAAAAUAAAUACAGUUAUGUUUAGUUUUUGUCCAUUUUCCUGAGCACUUUAUAAGAUAAGCAUUUCCUAGCAAUGAAGCAUGUUUCUGUGUGAGUUGUGUUCAGAAGUCUCAGUUAUUUAGUGUCGCCCAGUUCCCUCUGAAACCCUUUACAAAUGCUGGUAAGUGUACGAUGCAUAGCAUUUAAAAAUCUGUUCAGGUUUUAAAAGUUGUGUAGUGUAUUUUGACCUUAAACCUGGCAUUUGUCAGACUGGAGGAGGCCAGCAGAGUCACAAGGCCAAAACAAAUGCAUAUCAAAUAAGUGUCAAAUGAAGCUAAACAGAAUUUGGGCUGUUAGGCACAGCUACACACAAUCUUCUUAGCCUACUCUAUCAUCACAUGAACAAAUUGCUGACUUUUUUUCUCAGCUGAACAAAGCUGUACCAGCCAUCUGACAGGAGAACAGGUUUAGAUCUUUUAAUCUGGAAUUCUACAGUGGAAAAUGAGUUCGAUUUGGAAAGUGCUGAAACACAUUUUUUCCUGGAACACAGAUACAAAAAUGUCCUUGCCAAUGUUCUUGUCAGAAUGUCUGAAGCGCUGCGAGGAACCAAAAUAAUGUGUUCAUUAUUAAAACUGACAUCAUA